AACCCUUCCUUCUCCUGCCUUUACGGGUUGCGUUGUAGCCACAAGACCAGUAGCUAAGGUCACAACGGCAUGGCUGUGUCCCAGACUUUCCCACCGGGGCCUGCCCAUGAGCCUGCCAGUGCCCUGAUGGAGCCUUGCGCUCGAAGCUUAGCUGAGGGCUUCCUGGAGGAAGAGCUUCGGCUCAAUGCUGAGCUGAGCCAGCUGCAGUUUCCAGAGCCUGUGGGUGUCAUCUACAACCCAGUGGAUUAUGCUUGGGAGCCACACCGGAACUACGUGA
rnacentral:lncRNA from 1 species